UACGGGGGGGGCAAGCGUUGUUCGGAAUUACUGGGCGUAAAGGGCUCGUAGGCGGCCAACUAAGUCAGACGUGAAAUCCCUCGGCUUAACCGGGGAACUGCGUCUGAUACUGGAUGGCUUGAGUUCGGGAGAGGGAUGCGGAAUUCCAGGUGUAGCGGUGAAAUGCGUAGAUAUCUGGAGGAACACCGGUGGCGAAGGCAGCUCGCUGGGACGGUACUGACGCGUGAGGCGCGAAAGCGUGGGGAGCGAAACAGG
rnacentral:rRNA from 1 species